GGAGGUGUGACAGCUCUGGCGACUCUGCUGGGGACACAAACCCAGAACAUUGGUACAGGAUUUAAGAAUUCGAGCUUAGUAUAAUUGCUAUAUUUGGCUUUAUCUGAUUUCCUACAUGUUCCAUGCUAUACGUGCUAAAUAUUUUACCGCUUUCAUAUUUGUUGAAUUGUAUAUAUAAACUGUUACAAAUCUCUUCCUCUCUAUGAGUCUUCUACAUCAUGGAGAAGGGUGCACUUCAAGUAACUUCUCUUAUGUUUAGAAUCAUAUCCCAUUUAGAACGAGGUUUGGAUAAGUUACCAAGCCGGCAGAGCUUCUAUAUCCCUGGUACGCUGCUCUCUCCCCCAGCUCACGUUGUCCGCUCGGGUAAGCCAUGUUGGAAAUCAUGUAUAUCUAUGAUAUGUGCGAUUUGGUUGUAUGAGCAUGAUUUUUAGG
rnacentral:lncRNA from 1 species